UUAGUAAACGAAAGGAUUGGGCACGGGUGCAGCAGUAGUUACGGGAGCAACAGUAGUUACGGGAGCAGCUGUAGUUAGGGGAGCAGCCGUGGUAGUGGCAGGAGCCAGUGUGGUAGCAAGAGAAUUAGUGGGGAAGUAAGGAGUGACGCUGUAGGUUGGCUGGCCAGUUGAGCUGAUGCCGGUCUGUUCAAC